rnacentral:rRNA from 1 species
CCUGGUUGAUCCUGCCAGUAGUGAUAUGCUUGUCUCAAAGGCUAAGCCAUGCAAGUGUUAGUAUAAACUGACUUAUAUAGUGAAACUGCGAAUGGCUCAUUAAAUCAGUUAUAGUUUAUUUGAUGGAUACGUGCUUCGGUACACUACAUGGAUAACUGUAGUAACAUAGAGCUAAUACAUGCAAUAUAGUCUGACUUUUUGGAAGGACUAGCACUUAUUAGAUAUUAAACCAAUCUCCGCAAGGAGUUUUAUGGUGAUUCAUAGUAACUGAACAAAUCACAUAGUUUUACACUGGUGAUGUUUCAUUCAAAUUUCUGCCCUAUCAACUUGAUGGUAGUAUAUAGGACUACCAUGGUUAUAACGGGUAACGGAGGAUUAGGGUUUGAUUCCGGAGAAGGAGCAUGAGAAACGGCUACUAUUUCUAAGGAAAGCAGCAGGCGCGCAAAUUAUUCAAUGGAAACAAAUUUCCGAAAUAGCGACAAAAAAUAUCAAUGCCAGGCACUAAGUGUUUGGUAAUUGGAAUGAGUACAAUUUAAAUCCCUUAACAAGUAACAAUUAGAGGGCAAGUCUGGUGCCAGCAGCCGCGGUAAUUCCAGCUCUAAUAGCGUAUAUUAAUAUUGUUGCAGUUAAAAAGCUCGUAGUUGAAAUUUGGGACUUUAUUGUAUUGGUUUAUCUUUUGAUGAACUGUACAAUGGGUUUCUCCCUACUAGAGUUCGAUUCUGUUCUUAACUGAAUGGAGUAGCUAUCUUUCGGGGUAGUCAAUUGGUUGUUAUAUCUCCACUAAUAAGCAGAGAGGGGUAAAACCUUCAAAGUAAGUUACGUGGAUCAAGGUAUGAUGAUUAAUUGGAGUUCUAGUUCAUUUACUUUGAGAAAAUUAGAGUGUUUAAAGCAGCCUCUUGGGGCACUGAAUACAUUAGCAUGGGAUAAUAAAAUAGGAUCUUCACAAUAUAUUUUAUUGGUUUAAAUUGAAAUGAAGAUAAUGAUUAAUAGGGACAGUUGGGGGUAUUCAUAUUGGGUGGUUAGCGGUGAAAUGCUCGGAUCCAUUCAAGAUGAACUAAAGCGAAAGCAUUUACCAAGGAUGUUUUCAUUAAUCAAGAACGAAAGUUAAGGGAUCGAAGACGAUUAGAUACCGUCGUAGUCUUAACUAUAAACUAUGCCGACCAAGGAUAUGAGUUGCUACGAUUACAUGAAAGUGUAAUCAACUUCUUCUUAUGGACUUUGUGAGAAAUCAUAAGUUAUUAGGUUCUGGGGGAGUAUGGUCGCAAGGCUGAAACUUAAAGGAAUUGACGGAAGGGCACCACCAGGCGUGGAACCGGCGGCUAUCGUGACU